GAGAAAGCAUUCGUCGACGCGCGUCUAAACGCUACUCGAUUUAGACCAAUUUCGACAGACCCCCCAACCCCCUGUCAAUUAUUAAGACAAUCGUCCAUUUGUUUAAAAUUGACGUUUCACUUUAAAGAAAAACUUUUUACAUGUUUUUCGUAGGGUUCGUUAAGAUCUAGAAGGUAGAAAAGUUUCAAUCUACGAUGUUCGUUAUUAUAGAAAAUCCACUCUGACUAAAUCCUCGUGAACUUUAUUUCUGUAAGAAUUCAAAUUUUUUCACUUCUCUUGCGAAUUGUUCUAUGACCUUUCGAUCCCUAGUAAUUGUACAGUAUCAACACUGAAGCUUUCGGAGCUUUAAGGGUUCAUCGGGAAUAGAUUAGCAGUACGGAGUAAUAACCAGCGCCACGUUUGCAUUUCCUCGAUAAUGGUUUCUCCCAUUAACGAAGAAAAAUUAGUUGCCGAUCAAAUACCGAUUAAAUUGGAUCUGAUUCAAUUUCAGCGAGCAUUAACGUUUCUUCUUUUUGCUAGACUCUCCUGCGCGCUCGUCCUCUUCGUCCUCUUCCACCUACCAAUUAAAACGAGCACAUCCGGUAUUUACAUAUACUACCCAAUCAGAAACAUCGCAUUAGAGCUCUCCAAAUACCUAAAACCAGCAAUCAAUAAAUUUACGUCCGACGGGGGCGCGCACGCACGCGCUUUAUUCGUGGUUGGAAGGAAAAUAAAAAUAAAAAACAAAAAGGAAAUCCAACCGAUGCAGUUGGCCUAGGUAGCGAUGGAACCGAAGAGUUUUCAAAUACUGUCACAGGUCGAAUUACGUUCCAUAAAAUAUAUUUUGUUCCAGUGGAAAUGAAUUCAAAAACAAUCACGAUUUACUUUAGAGAUACAAAAGAGGGAAGGUUCGCGUUGGAAUCUUUGCUAUCUUUCAUCUAUUUCUCAAUGAUUCUCCUCGGAAAAAUGAAUGGAAAAUUCAUGCUGCUCUUUGAAAUCCAAAGCUUCGUUAUCAAGAUACAAGCAGUCAAAGCUCCGAAUGCGCAGCUGAGCGAUCAGCUGACCCAAAGUAUAAACAGCGCGCGCCGAGAGUCCCAUCAGCAAACUUGUUCCGCUUCUAUCUAGAUAACUAAGCUUUGGAUUGCAAAAUGAUGCAAGACUUUUCGCUUCCUUUUGCUACGGUGAAUCGAUCUUGAUAAUAAUGAAAUAAACUGUGCCUCUAUCUUCCCUAUUACAGCCCUUAUUACGACUUCAAAUAAACCUAUUAAAAAAUUUGCUGUUCCACAGAAAACUGUCUACCUUCCACGCAAGUUCUCCAAUACCUGCCUCGACCAUUGGUCCCAUCACUGGUCUACAAAGGGUGUCGUUCGUUACUUGAACGUAUCCCUUACUAAUUACGUGUAACGAAAGAAAUUAACGAGCGGGAACAGCUUUGACGAAUAAAUGGCCGCGCGGAGCGGGCUCGUUACGGAAUGUUUUUUUUUUUCUUUCUUUUUUUGGGGGAGAAAAACACGAGUGAAUCGGGGCUGGCUGCGGAUGAAAAGCGUUUCAGAGUCUGCGUAACCUGCUCUGAAGAGAUCGAGCAGAAUGAAGAAACGAGACGUCCGCGUCCAAGGAAACGAGUGGGUUUUAAACGGCCACGGACGAGGGACGAGGGACGGGGGAAUAAGUUUAAGGACUCGUCGUAGUUUUUCACUGGGAAAUUCGCUGCUCGAUUACGUUAGCAUUCCCAGGAACGAGAUAUCCGCGAUUGCGGAUGUCGUUCAUCCCCCUACUCCCCCCGAAGUGACGAGAAUAAAGGCGAAGAAGAGGGAAGAGGGUAAAUCAAGAGAGGGAUUGUUUAUGGCACCGUGGCACAGAAUGCUCCUUUUAGCCUUGGAUCGCGAAAUGGGCGAGCUUUGGUAAUCGAGUCACUUUAAACAACAGCCUCGAGAUAAAGGAUAAGGGGCUGGAGGAGUGAUCAUUUUCUAGACGGUGGUUUUCGAUGGUAUCGGAACUGGAUUAUUCCUCUGCGGCUGGAUUCGAGAGGCUUUCGUACGCUUUCUACUCGUUUCUACGAUUUGAUCACUCAGUUUUGCUGUCUAAACAAUUCAAAUAGCUGUACAAUUAUAGAGGUACGAUUAAUUGAUAAACUAAAAUAGAUAUUAGGGUUUGAUGGUUAUUUUAUGUAUCAUUCGCUUGUUUUUGUUUUUUUAUUUUAGAAAUUAAUCUUGUACGAAGGACAAAAGGUCCCAGGAACAAACGAAGGUCACUAUAGGGAGCUAAGAUUGUAUUUCCUGCUGCACGUUUCCCUUUAUUGGAAACAUUCACGGAGCACGGUCAUUGGUCGGAGUCCUUGGAGGGUGCGCCACUGACGGAAGGUCUAGGCGCGAGAACGGAACGGAGACGGAGCAUUGUGUGUGCAGAAAGAAGCAGGGUGAUCGCGGGUUGAACCAGAAUAGAGAAACCACGCGCAGAAACAGGAAGAGGAACUACGAAUGUCGGGGAUAAAACGAUAGUCGAAUGUCUAGGGAGAUGGAGAGCGCUGGAAACAAAGCUGGAGUAGAAUCUCUACCGAGACCGAAGGACCGUUGAUCAAUAAUGGUAUAUUGAAUUCAAAGGAACAUUUUAACGUGCAUAAAUUAUUAUACAUAUGUAUAUACAUACACUUGUUUGUAAAGUAUCCUAAUACAACCACGGUAGACACAUGUCGAUAAUAGAAUGAAAUGAAAGAUCAAAAGUGUACGUAACAGAUAGUGACCUUACACUAGGGUUAAUUUUAAUGUAAAUUGUACGAAAAUCGAAAUCACGCUAUUUAGGUCUCGUAGCUCACAUUUGUGUUCUCGAGCUUGAUUAAAUAGCUCGUGUCUUUGAUUAUGCGUAAUUUCGGGGUUAAGUGCAACCCUUCAGCCGCAGGUGGCCUCUCUUGCGCAUGUAUCAGCAUGAAUUUGGUAUCUAUGUUCUCCGUGUACUUUUACAUAGCGAAACAGAAAUGAUUAUAUGUAUAGUAGAAUGCCUCCAAACGAUACUGAUACACUUUCUCUUUAAAUUUAAUUUCUCUUCUCACUUGAAAUUUCAAUACAAAAUUUGCCUGUCUUGCGCAUGAAUCGCCAUAAAUUCAUCACAUUUCUUCUCUAUGUGCCUUUACAUAGAAAAACACAAAUAAUAAUACAAUGGCAUAAUAUAAUUUCUCUUUAGUGUAUCACUAAGUACUGAAAACAAAGGUCGUAGCAUCAAAAGGACUCGUCCUUGAUGGCAGUUGACUGUUAUCAACGAACAAGCAACAUUUAUUCAGCUUUAUUAUUUAAUUUCAGGAGAGCUGUUGACGCUGAAGCGAAGCAAGAUGGAGAUAAAAGUAGGAGCACGAUGGAGGAAGCGGCAGAGACGGUCCAGGGGAAGGGAAAAAGAGACACUAGGCUAGGGGAGCACAGGGAGAGGGUGAAAGAGGGACCAGAAACGCGGAGAAAGAUAAAAGGAAGACCGGGGGAGGUUACGAUGCAAAUAGGGAAGGGUCGUACGUCGCGAUAGAGAAAAAGGGUGCAAAGGGACGCGAGCACGCGUCGACAAACACGCGCAAGGAUGAAAGUAGCCAGACUGUAUAGGUUUCAACGGACUUUAGAGCCCUGCUCUAAUCCUUUUCAAGAAUUUCGACUGGUCAGGGACACUUUUCCGCCAACUAAGACCCGUCUUAUUUCGCCUUUAAUUUAAACGAAAAGUACGAAAUAACUGCUGAUAAUUUUUUUUUUUUUUUUUUUUGAAAAUAAAAAUAGUGUCGAUUAAUAGAAUAAAAUUCAACGAAUUAUUUUGUCAUUUUAUAGUGGCCAACAAUUGAUAUUAUUAAAGAGAACAGACACGAAUUAUGUUUAUCCAUUCAAGCGCGAUUGUGUUGACAGACACAAACACACAUGUAUCAACGCUACCACGC